GGCAGACAGGUAAGAGACAGACAGGUAAGAGGCAGACAGGUAAGAGGCAGACAGGAAAGAGGCAGACAGGAAAGAGGCAGACAGGUAAGAGGCAGACAGGUAAGAGGCAGACAGGUAAGAGGCAGACAGGAAAGAGGCAGACAGGUAAGAGGCAGACAGGUAAGAGGCAGACAGGAAAGAGGCAGACAGGUAAGAGGCAGACAGGUAAGAGGCAGACAGGAAAGAGGCAGACAGGAAAGAGGCAGACAGGUAAGAGACAGACAGGUAAGAGACAGACAGGAAAGAGACAGACAGGUAAGAGACAGACAGGUAAGAGGCAGACAGGUAAGAGACAGACAGGAAAGAGGCAGACAGGUAAGAGGCAGACAGGUAAGAGGCAGACAGGAAAGAGGCAGACAGGUAAAGGACAGACAGGUAAGAGACAGACAGGAAAGAGACAGACAGGAAAGAGGCAGACAGGAAAGAGACAGACAGGAAAGAGGCAGACAGGUAAGAGACAGACAGGAAAGAGACAGACAGGUAAGAGACAGACAGGUAAGAGACAGACAGGAAAGAGACAGACAGGAAAGAGACAGACAGGUAAGAGACAG